rnacentral:rRNA from 1 species
AUUGAACGCUGGCGGCAGGCCUAACACAUGCAAGUCGGACGGUAGCACAGAGAGCUUGCUCUCGGGUGACGAGAGGCGGACGGGUGAGUAAUGUCUGGGGAUCUGCCCGAUCGAGGGGGAUAACCACUGGAAACGGUGGCUAAUACCGCAUAACGUCGCAAGACCAAAGAGGGGGACCUUCGGGCCUCUCACUAUCGGAUGAACCCAGAUGGGAGUGGCUAGUAGGCGGGGUAACGGCCCACCUAGGCGACGAUCCCUAGCUGGUCUGAGAGGAGGACCAGCCACACUGGAACUGAGACACGGUCCAGACUCCUACGGGAGGCAGCAGUGGGGAAUAUUGCACAAUGGGCGCAAGCCUGAUGCAGCCAUGCCGCGUGUAUGAAGAAGGCCUUCGGGUUGUAAAGUACCUUCAGCGGGGAGGAAGGCGAUGUGGUUAAUAACCGCAUUGAUUGACGUUACCCGCAGAAGAAGCACCGGCUAACUCCGUGCCAGCAGCCGCCGUAA